GGGUUGUGAGGUUAAGCGACUAAGCGUACACGGUGGAUGCCCUGGCAGUCAGAGGCGAUGAAGGACGUGCUAAUCUGCGAUAAGCGUCGGUAAGGUGAUAUGAACCGUUAUAACCGGCGAUUUCCGAAUGGGGAAACCCAGUGUGUUUCGACACACUAUCAUUAACUGAAUCCAUAGGUUAAUGAGGCGAACCGGGGGAACUGAAACAUCUAAGUACCCCGAGGAAAAGAAAUCAACCGAGAUUCCCCCAGUAGCGGCGAGCGAACGGGGAGCAGCCCAGAGCCUGAAUCAGUGUGUGUGUUAGUGGAAGCGUCUGGAAAGGCGCGCGAUACAGGGUGACAGCCCCGUACACAAAAAUGCACAUAUUGUGAGCUCGAUGAGUAGGGCGGGACACGUGGUAUCCUGUCUGAAUAUGGGGGACCAUCCUCCAAGGCUAAAUACUCCUGACUGACCGAUAGUGAACCAGUACCGUGAGGGAAAGGCGAAAAGAACCCCGGCGAGGGGAGUGAAAAAGAACCUGAAACCGUGUACGUACAAGCAGUGGGAGCACGCUUAGGCGUGUGACUGCGUACCUUUUGUAUAAUGGGUCAGCGACUUAUAUUCUGUAGCAAGGUUAACCGAAUAGGGGAGCCGAAGGGAAACCGAGUCUUAACUGGGCGUUAAGUUGCAGGGUAUAGACCCGAAACCCGGUGAUCUAGCCAUGGGCAGGUUGAAGGUUGGGUAACACUAACUGGAGGACCGAACCGACUAAUGUUGAAAAAUUAGCGGAUGACUUGUGGCUGGGGGUGAAAGGCCAAUCAAACCGGGAGAUAGCUGGUUCUCCCCGAAAGCUAUUUAGGUAGCGCCUCGUGAAUUCAUCUCCGGGGGUAGAGCACUGUUUCGGCAAGGGGGUCAUCCCGACUUACCAACCCGAUGCAAACUGCGAAUACCGGAGAAUGUUAUCACGGGAGACACACGGCGGGUGCUAACGUCCGUCGUGAAGAGGGAAACAACCCAGACCGCCAGCUAAGGUCCCAAAGUCAUGGUUAAGUGGGAAACGAUGUGGGAAGGCCCAGACAGCCAGGAUGUUGGCUUAGAAGCAGCCAUCAUUUAAAGAAAGCGUAAUAGCUCACUGGUCGAGUCGGCCUGCGCGGAAGAUGUAACGGGGCUAAACCAUGCACCGAAGCUGCGGCAGCGACGCUGAUGCGUUGUUGGGUAGGGGAGCGUUCUGUAAGCCUGUGAAGGUGCGCUGUGAGGCAUGCUGGAGGUAUCAGAAGUGCGAAUGCUGACAUAAGUAACGAUAAAGCGGGUGAAAAGCCCGCUCGCCGGAAGACCAAGGGUUCCUGUCCAACGUUAAUCGGGGCAGGGUGAGUCGACCCCUAAGGCGAGGCCGAAAGGCGUAGUCGAUGGGAAACAGGUUAAUAUUCCUGUACUUGGUGUUACUGCGAAGGGGGGACGGAGAAGGCUAUGUUGGCCGGGCGACGGUUGUCCCGGUUUAAGCGUGUAGGCUGGUUUUCCAGGCAAAUCCGGAAAAUCAAGGCUGAGGCGUGAUGACGAGGUACUACGGUGCUGAAGCAACAAAUGCCCUGCUUCCAGGAAAAGCCUCUAAGCAUCAGGUAACAUCAAAUCGUACCCCAAACCGACACAGGUGGUCAGGUAGAGAAUACCAAGGCGCUUGAGAGAACUCGGGUGAAGGAACUAGGCAAAAUGGUGCCGUAACUUCGGGAGAAGGCACGCUGAUAUGUAGGUGAAGUCCCUCGCGGAUGGAGCUGAAAUCAGUCGAAGAUACCAGCUGGCUGCAACUGUUUAUUAAAAACACAGCACUGUGCAAACACGAAAGUGGACGUAUACGGUGUGACGCCUGCCCGGUGCCGGAAGGUUAAUUGAUGGGGUCAGCGCAAGCGAAGCUCUUGAUCGAAGCCCCGGUAAACGGCGGCCGUAACUAUAACGGUCCUAAGGUAGCGAAAUUCCUUGUCGGGUAAGUUCCGACCUGCACGAAUGGCGUAAUGAUGGCCAGGCUGUCUCCACCCGAGACUCAGUGAAAUUGAACUCGCUGUGAAGAUGCAGUGUACCCGCGGCAAGACGGAAAGACCCCGUGAACCUUUACUAUAGCUUGACACUGAACAUUGAGCCUUGAUGUGUAGGAUAGGUGGGAGGCUUUGAAGUGUGGACGCCAGUCUGCAUGGAGCCGACCUUGAAAUACCACCCUUUAAUGUUUGAUGUUCUAACGUUGACCCGUAAUCCGGGUUGCGGACAGUGUCUGGUGGGUAGUUUGACUGGGGCGGUCUCCUCCUAAAGAGUAACGGAGGAGCACGAAGGUUGGCUAAUCCUGGUCGGACAUCAGGAGGUUAGUGCAAUGGCAUAAGCCAGCUUGACUGCGAGCGUGACGGCGCGAGCAGGUGCGAAAGCAGGUCAUAGUGAUCCGGUGGUUCUGAAUGGAAGGGCCAUCGCUCAACGGAUAAAAGGUACUCCGGGGAUAACAGGCUGAUACCGCCCAAGAGUUCAUAUCGACGGCGGUGUUUGGCACCUCGAUGUCGGCUCAUCACAUCCUGGGGCUGAAGUAGGUCCCAAGGGUAUGGCUGUUCGCCAUUUAAAGUGGUACGCGAGCUGGGUUUAGAACGUCGUGAGACAGUUCGGUCCCUAUCUGCCGUGGGCGCUGGAGAACUGAGGGGGGCUGCUCCUAGUACGAGAGGACCGGAGUGGACGCAUCACUGGUGUUCGGGUUGUCAUGCCAAUGGCACUGCCCGGUAGCUAAAUGCGGAAGAGAUAAGUGCUGAAAGCAUCUAAGCACGAAACUUGCCCCGAGAUGAGUUCUCCCUGACUCCUUGAGAGUCCUGAAGGAACGUUGAAGACGACGACGUUGAUAGGCCGGGUGUGUAAGCGCAGCGAUGCGUUGAGCUAACCGGUACUAAUGAACCGUGAGGCUUAACCUUACAACGCCGAAGGUGUUU
rnacentral:rRNA from 1 species